GCUGUGAGGUCGAAGUUACAAAUCAGAAUUAAAAAACUGAAUGGGUAUAUCAAUACCCAUGCUACGUCAAUCUUUAAAGACCCAAAUGUUGCAAAACACUUGUCCAACUUUCAUGACAAUUAUGUUGUCAUCCCCGCAGAUAAAGCCCCAGACAACAUAGUUUUUGUGUGUAAAUCUCAUUACAUAAACUGCUUGAUAAAUGAAUUGCUGGGUCUUCAGCAGUAAAGGCCAGGAUUCAAAGUUAUUGAGAAACUGUCUAUUCUAGAGGGGGCAUGAAUCAAAUGUUCGAUAUCAAAAAUUUCAAAGAUCUUUUAGAGUAUAUACAAUCUAAGACUCUUUCAUCUAGCAAUAGUAUUAAAACGUUUGAC
rnacentral:lncRNA from 1 species